CAAAAACAUAGCCCUAAGAAUAUAUUUAGGGUAAGCCCUGCCCGGUGAUAAAAUAUUUAACGGCCGCAGUACCUUGACUGUGCUAAGGUAGCGUAAUCAGUUGGCUUUUAAAUGGAGUCUAGUAUGAAUGGGUUCAUGGGGGAAAGCUGUCUCAAACUUAGAAUUCGAAUUUCCUAAAAAGGUGAAAAUACCUUUAAUUAAAUAAAAGACGAGAAGACCCUUAGAGCUUUUAGUAAAUUGUAGUAGUAUACAAUAUCUUUUUGUUGGGGCGACAUAGACACAAUUAACUCUCUUAAAUGUUAUUUACUUGCCGACUUUUUGUAAGUAAGAAUAAGCUACCUUAGGGAUAACAGCAUUAUUUUUUAAAAAGCUUAUGACCUCGAUGUUGGACUAGGGACUUUAUGACUAGCCGUCAAAUUAGCAAGCUC
rnacentral:rRNA from 1 species